rnacentral:rRNA from 1 species
AGCUACAGGCUUAACACAUGCAAGUCGAGGGGCAUCAGGAAGAAAGCUUGCUUUCUUUGCUGGCGACCGGCGCACGGGUGAGUAACACGUAUCCAACCUGCCCUUUACUCGGGGAUAGCCUUUCGAAAGAAAGAUUAAUACCCGAUGGCAUAAUGAUUCCGCAUGGUUUCAUUAUUAAAGGAUUCCGGUAAAGGAUGGGGAUGCGUUCCAUUAGGUUGUUGGUGAGGUAACGGCUCACCAAGCCUUCGAUGGAUAGGGGUUCUGAGAGGAAGGUCCCCCACAUUGGAACUGAGACACGGUCCAAACUCCUACGGGAGGCAGCAGUGAGGAAUAUUGGUCAAUGGGCGCUAGCCUGAACCAGCCAAGUAGCGUGAAGGAUGAAGGCUCUAUGGGUCGUAAACUUCUUUUAUAUAAGAAUAAAGUGCAGUAUGUAUACUGUUUUGUAUGUAUUAUAUGAAUAAGGAUCGGCUAACUCCGUGCCAGCAGCCGCGGUAAUACGGAGGAUCCGAGCGUUAUCCGGAUUUAUUGGGUUUAAAGGGAGCGUAGGUGGACUGGUAAGUCAGUUGUGAAAGUUUGCGGCUCAACCGUAAAAUUGCAGUUGAUACUGUCAGUCUUGAGUACAGUAGAGGUGGGCGGAAUUCGUGGUGUAGCGGUGAAAUGCUUAGAUAUCACGAAGAACUCCGAUUGCGAAGGCAGCUCACUGGACUGCAACUGACACUGAUGCUCGAAAGUGUGGGUAUCAAACAGGAUUAGAUACCCUGGUAGUCCACACAGUAAACGAUGAAUACUCGCUGUUUGCGAUAUACAGUAAGCGGCCAAGCGAAAGCAUUAAGUAUUCCACCUGGGGAGUACGCCGGCAACGGUGAAACUCAAAGGAAUUGACGGGGGCCCGCACAAGCGGAGGAACAUGUGGUUUAAUUCGAUGAUACGCGAGGAACCUUACCCGGGCUUAAAUUGCAGUGGAAUGAUGUGGAAACAUGUCAGUGAGCAAUCACCGCUGUGAAGGUGCUGCAUGGUUGUCGUCAGCUCGUGCCGUGAGGUGUCGGCUUAAGUGCCAUAACGAGCGCAACCCUUAUCUUUAGUUACUAACAGGUUAUGCUGAGGACUCUAGAGAGACUGCCGUCGUAAGAUGUGAGGAAGGUGGGGAUGACGUCAAAUCAGCACGGCCCUUACGUCCGGGGCUACACACGUGUUACAAUGGGGGGUACAGAAGGCAGCUAGCGGGUGACCGUAUGCUAAUCCCAAAAGCCUCUCUCAGUUCGGAUCGAAGUCUGCAACCCGACUUCGUGAAGCCGGAUUCGCUAGUAAUCGCGCAUCAGCCACGGCGCGGUGAAUACGUUCCCGGGCCUUGUACACACCGCCCGUCAAGCCAUGGGAGCCGGGGGUACCUGAAGUACGUAACCGCAAGGAUCGUCCUAGGGUAAAACUGGUGACUGGGGCUAAGA